rnacentral:rRNA from 1 species
UACGAACUGUGCGAACGUUUAUUCGGAAUCACUGGGCUUACAGGGUGCGUAGGCGGCUUGUUAAGUAGGGUGUGAAAGCCCCCGGCUCAACCGGGGAAUUGCGCCCUAAACUGGCGAGCUGGAGUGAGAUAGGGGUGUGUGGAACUUCCGGUGGAGCGGUGAAAUGUGUUGAUAUCGGAAGGAACGCCGGUGGCGAAAGCGACACACUGGAUCUUGUCUGACGCUGAGGCACGAAAGCUAGGGUAGCAAACGGG